AUUGAACGCUGGCGGCAUGCCUUACACAUGCAAGUCGAACGGUAACAGGUCUUCGGGUGCUGACGAGUGGCGAACGGGUGAGUAAUACAUCGGAACGUGCCUAGUAGUGGGGGAUAACUACUCGAAAGAGUGGCUAAUACCGCAUGAGAUCUACGGAUGAAAGCAGGGGAUCGCCAGACCUUGUGCUACUAGAGCGGCCGAUGGCAGAUGAGGUAGUUGGUGGGAUAAAAGCUUACCAAGCCGACGAUCUGUAGCUGGUCUGAGAGGACGAUCAGCCACACUGGGACUGAGACACGGCCCAGACUCCUAGGGGAGGCAGCAGUGGGGAAUUUUGGACAAUGGGCGAAAGCCUGAUCCAGCAAUGCCGCGUGCAGGAUGAAGGCCUUCGGGUUGUAAACUGCUUUCGUACGGAACGAAAAGCCCCGGGUUAAUACCCUGGGGUCACGACGGUACCGUAAGAAUAAGCACCGGCUAACUACGUGCCAGCAGCCGCCGUAA
rnacentral:rRNA from 1 species